GUGUGCAAGCUGUAAACUUUUCUUUUUGUGAAUCUUAAAAAAUGAGUUACAGUUAUUUGGGGUUUUUAAAACGACAUAUUAACGACAUUUAACCAGCAAUAAAAUUACAAUUAUUUUUGAAUCUUUAAAAGUUUCUUAUUUCUUAUUGGCCAAUAUCUUUUUGCAAGGAUUGCUAUCUGCACCCUUGAUUAGUUUUUAAUCUAAUGGUUCAUAUUUAUCCUAUCCCUCCUCCUUUCUCCUUCAGAUUUGUUUUCAGUUUCUUCUCACAUUCUCUCCUCCUUCCACACUUCGAUAAUAUUUUAUUUCUUACUCAUUCGUUUCAUCUCCAUAUUCUUACUCCUAUCUCCACUGCUCAUGGCUCUCCUAUCUCCACCGUUCACCUCAUCCUCUUAUCUCUACUGGUCACCUCACCCUUUUAGAUUCACCGCUCACGGCUCUUCUGCCUCCACCGCUCAUCACUCAAGACUUCCUCCUAUCUCCACCGCUCACAGCUUCUAUCGCCGCUCACUCUCUGGUUCCAUCUCUAGCUAUCAAUCGAGAUUCAAUCCCCUCAGGCUCCGGAAUCCCGCCAAGAGAGACGGUCUUGAAGCGACCGGAGCAAAAUGACGACACUUCAGUCCCAGGCAUACCUUGACGGCGCAAGACAACGAAGUCGCAUGAAGAUUUUUUAUUUUUUUUUAGGUGUAGGUUUGUAUUGUAAUCCAUUUUAUGUUUAAACCGGUUUAGUUUGUUAACCAAAUUUAAUUGUAAACCAGAUUUUAUUUAUAAACUAAUUUUAAUUAUUUAUU
rnacentral:lncRNA from 1 species